rnacentral:rRNA from 1 species
AGAGUUUGAUCAUGGCUCAGAUUGAACGCUGGCGGCAGGCCUAACACAUGCAAGUCGAGCGGUAACAGGAAGCAGCUUGCUGCUUUGCUGACGAGUGGCGGACGGGUGAGUAAUGUCUGGGAAACUGCCCGAUGGAGGGGGAUAACUACUGGAAACGGUAGCUAAUACCGCAUAAUCUCUCAGGAGCAAAGCAGGGGAACUUCGGUCCUUGCGCUAUCGGAUGAACCCAUAUGGGAUUAGCUAGUUGGUGAGGUAACGGCUCACCAAGGCGACGAUCCCUAGCUGGUCUGAGAGGAUGACCAGCCACACUGGAACUGAGACACGGUCCAGACUCCUACGGGAGGCAGCAGUGGGGAAUAUUGCACAAUGGGCGCAAGCCUGAUGCAGCCAUGCCGCGUGUAUGAAGAAGGCCUUCGGGUUGUAAAGCACUUUCAGCGAGGAGGAAAGGUUGAUGCCUAAUACGUAUCAACUGUGACGUUACUCGCAGAAGAAGCACCGGCUAACUCCGUGCCAGCAGCCGCGGUAAUAC